rnacentral:rRNA from 1 species
UGAGGAAUAUUGGUCAAUGGGCGCUAGCCUGAACCAGCCAAGUAGCGUGAAGGAUGAAGGCUCUAUGGGUCGUAAACUUCUUUUAUAUAAGAAUCAAGUGCAGUAUGUAUACUGUUUUGUAUGUAUUAUAUGAAUAAGGAUCGGCUAACUCCGUGCCAGCAGCCGCGGUAAUACGGAGGAUCCGAGCGUUAUCCGGAAUUAUUGGGUUUAAAGGGAGCGUAGGUGGACUGGUAAGUCAGUUGUGAAAGUUUGCGGCUCAACCGUAAAAUUGCAGUUGAUACUGUAAGGCUUGAGUACAGUAGAGGUGGGCGGAAUUCGUGGUGUAGCGGUGAAAUGCUUAGAUAUCACGAAGAACACCGAUUGCGAAGGCAGCUCACUGGACUGCAACUGACACUGAUGCUCGAAAGUGUGGGUAUCAAACAGG